CUUUAUUUCCUUCAUGUUGAUCAUUAUUAAUCAAAUUUUGCUGGAAUGUGCGACAGCCAGUCUAGGAGCUCUGUUUUUUUUUUACAAAUUGACAUUUCAGCUAAGCAGGCUGGGAGGUGAUUUGCUUCUGAUUGUUUCUUGGUGGACGUUGGUAGAAGAACAACCGAUGCCUUUGAUUACUGAACUAAACAGAAUUUUGUCAACCCUGAAUUCGAAGUCACUUCAUAAUAAUUCAUUGAAUCCAUUCAUUAGUAUCGUCAGCUUAUUCUUCUAUAGUGAAUGGCGUGGGAAACAUGACAUUUGCCUUAUGGAAGACAUGGCUGAAGGUGGAAUUGUUGCGUUAAUACCAAUAACUUCACCACUGCACUUAAGUUGCCAGCCUUCAAUGGAAGCGAUCAAUUUUAUUAACAAACCUGAGCUUAUUUCUAGCGCAAUUAAAACAGCAUUGUAGUUAUCAUUUGGUUAUCGAUCUCUAUAAAGCAUAGUGCUGACUAAUAUUUAGUAUUAUACGGCUUUUAGCGGCGAGGUAAGUGCACUUAGUGCUGGACAUGCCCAGUGGCGACUCAAGUAUCAUUGAUGGUAGGAAUAAAAGUACCGUAUCAGACAAUCAGAGUUCAUAUCUUCAAGAUCAAUCCACCCUGAUGGGCGUCAGUUCUUCCUGUGCCCCGAGACAAGCCAGGGAAUCUUCCUGAACUUCAGCAAACUCCUGUGCUGCAGACACAACAAACUGCCCUUUGCUGCUGCACAGGUGGGCCCAGCGUU